UUGUCCUCUGAUGCUCAGUGAGAUGGCCGGCGCUGGUGGUCAGAACCACAUCAAGGAGGAGUGGAAGCAAAGUAGCGGUCAGGUGAUGAUCCCCAUUCUUUCUGCUCGCCAUGUUCCCCCUGCUCCCCUGCUCGCCGUGUUGCAAAUGAAGGCAUGGACUAUGGCAGAAGGUUGUUGGGUUGCCAAUAUGAGGUACAUUUCAGAGGCUUGUAUGAUUUGGCUUCGAGCAAAUGUAAGGUUCCUGUCUUUCACACUGAGUACUUUUUUACAUCUUCAGGAUUUCAGGGCUUGCGAAUAUGUGAAGUGGAUAGAUCCAAGAUGGGAUGGCCGGGCAAAGACAAUCAUUUGUGAUCUGGCUAUGAAGAACAAACUGUUGCAGGAAGAACUUGAGAAGAAGGAGGCUGAGAAGCAUUGUGAUAGGGAGAAGAAGGUCAUUGCUAGGAUUAAUAAGGAGCAAAUGAUGUGCAUACAUAGGAUUUUGGUACUUGCCAUUAGUAUGUGUGUUGGCUUGUGUGUCAUUCUGUUACCAGUAGCAGGGAAGAAUUAGAAAGAGAUUGAGUAAAGAGAUGAGUUUGGUAAGAGGAAAUGAAAUUGUAUUUUGAACAUGAUCUAUGUUUAAAUGGCAAAGUAUGUGACUACCCUGUUAUUUGAAAUGUGGCUUAUGAGAAUUGAAUUUUCAGUUGCAUAUUACUCUGAAAUAUAAAACCUUGC
rnacentral:lncRNA from 1 species